rnacentral:lncRNA from 14 species
CAAGAAUGCAGUUACAAUGCUGUGUUCAGGAUAGUUGACACAUUGCUAUUGCCUCUGCAGUCUAUGGAAAGCCCUCUACUGAUGUGCAAGGAGCAGGGAUCCUACCUGUACUGAAAGACACAGUACACUUCUUUGUUUGGGCCAUUUAGAGCUACAUGAUGAAUUCCACCACUCCCAGGUUUAAGCUAUGCCAUAGGCAAAAGGAAACCUGGAAACUGUGGGACUGGCAGGGCUCAAUGAACAACCUAAUCUGGAUUUCAUUCACAAACAGCAGCUCAUACACAGAGAAAGGGCUGGUGUGUUUCACCAAAUCGGAACUGGAGGAUGUGAGCUGAUGAUCUCCAUGCCAUUCUGCUGUGGCCUCUCACACUGAGAGCACUGCUGAUUUUGAUCACUGUUCCUGCCUUCUGAAGUGUCAUAGAUCUCCCACGAUCUGUUAGAAGCUAGAGGAAGAAGGCAAGUCCUUAAAAUUGUGCUACUGACAUGAAGAAAGCCUGGGGAUGAGCUCUUUCAUCUGAUGGUUCCCCCUGCCCAGAUCCAAG